AGCAGCCGCGGUAAUUCCAGCUCCAAUAGCGUAUAUUAAAGUUGUUGCAGUUAAAAGCUCGUAGUUGAAUUUCGGGAUUAGUACGCUGGUCGUGCCUUCGGUACGUACUGGUGUUACUGAUUCCUACCUUCUGACGAACCGUCAUGUCAUUAAUUUGAUGUGGCGGGGAAUCAGGACUGUUACUUUGAAAAAUUGAGUGUUUAAAGCAGGCUCGCGCUUGAAUACAUUAGCAUGGAAUAAUGAAAUAGGACGUUCGAUCCUAUUUUGUUGGUUUCUAGGAUUGACGUAAUGAUUAAUAGGGAUAGUUGGGGGCAUUAGUAUUCAAUUGUCAGAGGUGAGAUUCUUGGAUUUAUUGAAGACUAACUACUGACGAAAGCAUUUGACCAAGGAUU
rnacentral:rRNA from 1 species